ensembl:lncRNA
GGAUUAGUUUCGAGUUGACAAAACCAAACCGAUGCAAUCAGACUUAAUUGGUACCAUGAGGCAGCUUAUCAACUUUCUCUGUGAACUCAGGCUUUGAUCCUUAAGCUAUGAUUACUCCAUGGUCGCAUGCACAUAAAACAGCGGAGGAGCAAGAAAUAAUUAUUCAAAAAUACAAAGAAUAUAAGCAUGUUUUUCAAGCACGCAGUAAUACUGUUUCUGCUGCCAAAGCAAGAGAAGAGAGUUGGAAAAAGAUCGCUGAUUGCGUUAAUGCAUGUAACCCCAACUACAAACGUUCUUGGCAGCAGAUAAAGACAAAAUCUAAAAAUACAAUUCAAAGUGGUGGAAACUGACUCAAUUUCUCCCUGAUGAAAUUGACCCCAUCAACUGGACUGCACAUUAAAGGAGC